CCCCAAGCACCGCACAGCCCCUGGGGCUGCACCACGUGUGCAGUGUCCCCGCAGGGUGACCCAUGUGCCUGUGCUGCCUUUUGGGAUGUGCUGCCCGAUACGGCACAAUAAGCAGCAACGUGAGCUUUCAAAGAGCACCAGUGUGUUUGUAAAAUGGUGAUCCUACACGCUUGUCACGUGGUGAUCUUUAAUUAGAUCACUUUUAAUACGUUUCAGCAAACAGGAUGCUUCCUCUCCUACUUGUUUUCUCCCCUGUUGAAAGCAUUGCUCCUGCCUCACCCCCAGCUAUGCUCUGCUUUGCAGAAGCUGCUCCCUGCAUGAAGCCCUGAGUCCCUGGGGCAGUCCCAACUGGCCCUGAGUCCCAAAUCCCUUGGAGAAAGGGACAGGUAUGGGAUGGAUUCACAUUGCAAAGAGGGGCUGGCGAUGGUCCCCCCUUUGCCUCCACUCCCAGAUGGAGAGGCCUUCUUGUGUGGGGGUCCAUCAGGUUGCUGAGGGACACUGGGGCAUCUGCUGCCACCCAUAGCAGCCCUUGGUAGCCACGUCUUCAAGAACAGCAGAGCAGCACCUCUAGGUGCCCCCUGUAUCUGCCACACAGAGAGACACAAACACUUGCGUAAGGUCCAUCAAAGCAGCCUCACCAUCUGUGUCCCCUCUGGAGGCGUGGGCCCUCCAACCCUGUGCCCCAGCAUUUGCUGUUCAGUGUAAAUAUCACAAAAUGGAACAUAGCGCAUAGGCUCUAUCGCUCUUUUUUUUCCCCAUACAUUUUUUUCUGCCAUUUUAGAAACAUUUCCUUUGAAUACAGGUAUUAAUCACAUUUUUGUAUUUCUCAGCUCCUGAAAGGUUUUCUAAUGACUCCCAAGCUUAGAUGAAGCUAAUGAAAGGAUACUUUUACUGUUUGUUUGUUUGUUUGUCUGAUGGCUUGUUUCUCUUUUCUUUCCAUUUCUGUAAUAAUCAGAUCUGGGCUAAUAAAGAUGUUUGGAUUAGAGCACUAAGAGUUCAGUUACACUAGCAUUAAAUUCUUGGAUUUAUGUAUCAGGUGUUUCCUUUUCCCCCUUAACAAAAGGAUGAACAUUACACUUGCCCCAAGGACCAGCCCAACUAUCAGCAUCUGUCAUCUCAGUAGACAGACUUGGUUGCAGCAUUGCAAAUUUAAGAGAUAUGGCACCACACUGGGGAAAUCCAAAACAAGUCUGAG
rnacentral:lncRNA from 1 species